UUCCCUCAGAGUGGACCACCGAGAGCCCAAGCCAAGGCUGAAAUGGCCGAGCCUUCCUCUGCAUCUAGGCAGCCUGUGAUGCACCAGAUCAGGCAUGGCGGGAAUGGGAGGACUUCUGCAUACUGCAUUCUUCACUCUGAAACAUGAAAACCCCUCAUGGACCAUUCCGGAGCCAUGCCAGAAAAUUAUCCUUGCUAAUUACAAUGAAAUAAAGAGUACUUCUGUGCCAAGCAG
rnacentral:lncRNA from 1 species